rnacentral:rRNA from 1 species
AUUGAACGCUGGCGGCAGGCCUAACACAUGCAAGUCGAGCGGCAGCGGAAAGUAGCUUGCUACUUUGCCGGCGAGCGGCGGACGGGUGAGUAAUGUCUGGGAAACUGCCUGAUGGAGGGGGAUAACUACUGGAAACGGUAGCUAAUACCGCAUAACGUCGCAAGACCAAAGAGGGGGACCUUCGGGCCUCUUGCCAUCAGAUGUGCCCAGAUGGGAUUAGCUAGUAGGUGGGGUAAUGGCUCACCUAGGCGACGAUCCCUAGCUGGUCUGAGAGCAUGAGCGGCCACACUGGAACUGAGACACGGUCCAGACGCCUACGGGAGGCAGCAGUGGGGAAUAUUGCACAAUGGGCGAAAGCCUGAUGCAGCCAUGCCGCGUGUAUGAAGAAGGCCUUCGGGUUGUAAAGUACUUUCAGCGGGGAGGAAGGUGUUGAGGUUAAUAACCUCAGCAAUUGACGUUACCCGCAGAAGAAGCACCGGCUAACUCCGUGCCAGCAGCCGCCGUAA